rnacentral:tRNA from 1 species
GAUUAUAUAGCUUAUAUAAUAGAGCACAACAUUGAAGAUGUUAAGGAGUUAUUUUACUAUAAUCA